rnacentral:rRNA from 1 species
GGGCUAGCCUUAAGUGUAAGAGUCUUGGAGGUAGAGCACUGAUUGGACUAGGGGUCCUCAUCGGAUUACCGAAUUCCGUAGUCAAAAGGGAACUAGCCCAGAGCGCAAGCAAAGGUGCCAAAGUGAAUAUUAAGCGGAAAAGGAUGUGGAGAUGCUCAGACAACAAGGAUGUUGGCUAAGAAGAAGCCACCAUAUAAAGAGUUCGUAAUAACUCAAUAGUCGAGAGACACUGAGCUGAAAAUGUACCGGAGCUAAAUACACCACCGAAGCUGCGCAUGGAUAUCCAAUGGAAUCAGUGGUAGGGGCGCGUUCUAAGGACAGUGAAGUCAGACCGGAAGGACUGGUAGAGGGCUUAGAAGUGAGAAUGCCGGUAUGAGUAGCGAAAGACGGGUGAGAAUCCCGUCCACCGAAUGCCUAAGGUCUCCUGAGGCAGGCUCGUCCGCGCACGGGUAGUCAGGAACUAAGCCGAGGCCGACAGGCGACAGC